rnacentral:rRNA from 1 species
CAGAACGUCACAGAGGGUGAGAAUCCCGUGCGAUGAGAUGACCCAGACCUAUGUAAAGUUCCUUCGAAGAGUCGAGUUGUUUGGGAAUGCAGCUCUAAGUGGGUGGUAAAUUCCAUCUAAAGCUAAAUAUUGGCGAGAGACCGAUAGCGAACAAGUACAGUGAUGGAAAGAUGAAAAGAACUUUGAAAAGAGAGUGAAAAAGUACGUGAAAUUGUUGAAAGGGAAGGGCUUGAGAUCAGACUUGGUAUUUUGUAUGUUACUCUUUCGGGGGUGGCCUCUACAGUUUACCGGGCCAGCAUCAGUUUGGGCGGUAGGAGAAUUGCAAAGAAAUGUGGCACUGCUUCGGUAGUGUGUUAUAGUCUUUGUCGAUACUGCCAGCCUAGACUGAGGACUGCGGCUUCGGCCUAGGAUGUUGGCAUAAUGAUCUUAAGUCGCCCGUCUUGAAACACGGACCAAGGAGUCUAACGUCUAUGCGAGUGUUUGGGUGUAAAACCCGUACGCGUAAUGAAAGUGAACGUAGGUAGGACCUCCUUUAGGAGUGCACUAUCGACCGAUCCUGAUGUCUUCGGAUGGAUUUGAGUAAGAGCAUAGCUGUUGGGACCCGAAAGAUGGUGAACUAUGCCUGAAUAGGGUGAAGCCAGAGGAAACUCUGGUGGAGGCUCGUAGCGGUUCUGACGUGCAAAUCGAUCGUCGAA